GGCAAUUUUUACGGGAAUUAAAAAUGUUGAUGGAAAAAUUUUGAAGGAUUAAAAAUGCUGACAUAAAUAGGUUGGGUUGUGUUUGGGUUUCUUAAGAAAAGGAUGAACAACUUACAGCAACAAGAAGACCAGUUUCUACUGAUACAAACAAGACACCAAAGAAAGCACCAAUGCAAGCAAGGAAGUCAAAUUUGUCAACUUUCCAUAUAUAGCAAGCUUCUCUUAUGUCGAUUAAUCCUGGAAGUGCAGAGAGGAUUAUAGAAGCAAGUAUAGCCACAGGUGUGUAAUAUAACAGCCUUGUAAACAAUUCCAAACACAGAAUCACUGUUAUAGCCAUCACAAUAUUUGAUACUGAUGAUUGACAUCUUGCACUGAAAUUUACUGCUGUUCUUGAAAAUGAACCUGCAAGUGUAUAAGAAUUAACCAAUUAUAAUACUUUACACAACAUACUUAAACUAGAGAUAGAUUUUUUUUUUCUUUUUUUUAUAAUUGGUACGAAGUAUUCAUCAUGUUUUUUCGGUGAUUAAUUUUUGUCGAGAAAUUCAAUCAGUCAUUUUUAAGGAGAUCUCCACUUAUAUGUUAG
rnacentral:lncRNA from 1 species